rnacentral:tRNA from 1 species
GUGGGCGUAGCUCAGUCUGGUUAGAGCGCCUGAUUGUGGUUCAGGAGGGCGAGGGUUCAAGUCCCUCCGUCCACCCA